rnacentral:rRNA from 1 species
CCUACGGGACGCAGCAGUGGGGAAUAUUGCACAAUGGGGGGAACCCUGAUGCAGCGACGCCGCGUGAGUGAAGAAGUAUUUCGGUAUGUAAAGCUCUAUCAGCAGGGAAGAAAAUGACGGAACCUGACUAAGAAGCCCCGGCUAACUACGUGCCAGCAGCCGCGGUAAUACGUAGGGGGCAAGCGUUAUCCGGAUUUACUGGGUGUAAAGGGAGCGUAGACGGCAGAGCAAGCCUGAAGUGAAAGCCCGCGGCCCAACUGCGGCCC